rnacentral:rRNA from 1 species
GAUGAACGCUAGCUACCGUCUUAACACAUGCAAGUCGAGGGGCAGCAUGGUCUUAGCUCGCUAAGGCCGAUGGCGACCGGCGCACGGGUGAGUAACACGUAUCCAACCUGCCGUCUACUCUUGGACAGCCUUCUGAAAGGAAGAUUAAUACAAGAUGGCAUCAUGAGUCCGCAUGUUCACAUGAUUAAAGGUAUUCCGGUAGACGAUGGGGAUGCGUUCCAUUAGAUAGUAGGCGGGGUAACGGCCCACCUAGUCUUCGAUGGAUAGGGGUUCUGAGAGGAAGGUCCCCCACAUUGGAACUGAGACACGGUCCAAACUCCUACGGGAGGCAGCAGUGAGGAAUAUUGGUCAAUGGGCGAGAGCCUGAACCAGCCAAGUAGCGUGAAGGAUGACUGCCCUAUGGGUUGUAAACUUCUUUUAUAAAGGAAUAAAGUCGGGUAUGCAUACCCGUUUGCAUGUACUUUAUGAAUAAGGAUCGGCUAACUCCGUGCCAGCAGCCGCGGUAAUACGGAGGAUCCGAGCGUUAUCCGGAUUUAUUGGGUUUAAAGGGAGCGUAGAUGGAUGUUUAGGUCAGUUGUGAAAGUUUGCGGCUCAACCGUAAAAUUGCAGUUGAUACUGGAUAUCUUGAGUGCAGUUGAGGCAGGCGGAAUUCGUGGUGUAGCGGUGAAAUGCUUAGAUAUCACGAAGAACUCCGAUUGCGAAGGCAGCCUGCUAAGCUGCAACUGACAUUGAGGCUCGAAAGUGUGGGUAUCANACAGG